AUUGAACGCUGGCGGCAUGCUUUACACAUGCAAGUCGAACGGCAGCACGGGUGCUUGCACCUGGUGGCGAGUGGCGGACGGGUGAGUAAUACAUCGGAACGUGUCCAGAAGAGGGGGAUAACGCAUCGAAAGAUGCGCUAAUACCGCAUAUACUCUAAGGAGGAAAGCAGGGGAUCGAAAGACCUUGCGCUUUUGGAGCGGCCGAUGUCUGAUUAGCUAGUUGGUGGGGUAAGGGCCUACCAAAGCGACGAUCAGUAGUUGGUCUGAGAGGACGACCAGCCACACUGGGACUGAGACACGGCCCAGACUCCUACGGGAGGCAGCAGUGGGGAAUUUUGGACAAUGGGCGCAAGCCUGAUCCAGCAAUGCCGCGUGAGUGAAGAAGGCCUCGGUUGUAAG
rnacentral:rRNA from 1 species